GGGAAUAUUAAGCUUCUCAAUGAUCAAAAUUGGUGUUUGUCAAACUGCUAUAUAACCAAUGUAAUUUUUCUGACAAAACGGUUGGUUCAAAAUUUUUGAAAUUUUUAUAUUUUUGUUAAAGGGUUAAAGUAAAUACUUUGACAAAAUUUUAUGAAAAUUAAACGAGCCAAAUUAAUUUUAGUGAAAGUGUUGGGUACCACCUUAA
rnacentral:lncRNA from 1 species